CCUGCUUUUGUGCAGCCGACCGCGAGUGCGAUGGGAUGCUUCAUUCAUAAGAUAUCGAGAUUGCGGCUCCACAAAUUUGGUGGGUUGUAUGGCAUAGCCGAGGUGCGGCGACUACCCGGUCACCCUACGUCAGUAACACGUCGUUCAACUCUCUCGGUCCCCGCGGGCGGGCGACAAGCGAGAAGAGCGGCCUCUUACGAUGUCCCGUGUGUCCUCGGCGGUGCUUGCGGCCGCACGUGUUGUGCGCGUGCACGCCUGCGCCAUCCUGCCCUCGGGACGGACGUGUGCUUACGGAUGCAGUGAAUCGGAUGAGGUCGGGUGUCCUGUGUGGCUCACGGCCCGACAGAGGGGAACGUUUCGGAAGGUGUUCGCACACGUUGUUUGCGGGCAAACUAUCGGAGGGCACAAAAAAUAAACGACCGCUGCGCGUGCGUCCUCGCCCUUGUCUCUGUGGACGGAGCGACGGGUCGCUCGCGGGCGUGGUCUCGGAGGGUUCGUUAC
rnacentral:misc_RNA from 1 species